ensembl:snRNA U2 U2 spliceosomal RNA
AUCGCUUCUCGGCCUUUUGGCUAAGAUCAAGUGUAUUAUCCUGCCGUGCAGGACUUCUUAGAAUCUAUUGUUUCUCAGAAUUUAAAUUCUUACCUUCGCACCACCCCUU